CCUCAGCUCUGAUCCGAGCCUUCAGCUGACCCAACACACCUCGAGACUCCAGGCUCUCUCUCAGAGCUGGGAGAGAAGAUAAGCUGUUGAAAAUGGUAUCUUAAAAACCUCUGCAACUUGUGGGGACAUAUUGGUAACGUAGACUUAAGGGUGAUGCCUUUCAGUGCCCAGUCCAGGCCCUUGCGGUACUGCAGUCCAUAGUCUUGGAACUCUAUAGUGCCAGUCUGAGGCCACGCCAGAGGCAGGGAACUGCCCUCCACAGUCCACACAGCCUGGAAAGUGGAUGAGUUGAAGGAGGCGAUGGAGAUGGAGUAGAGGAUCUGGGACUUCUUCAGGGCCUUCAGUUCUUUCUCCCUGUAUCCCAGGACCUGCUCCAGAAAGGCCUUCUCCCAUGCAUAGAACUUCAGGAUCUUGAUCCC